rnacentral:rRNA from 1 species
GACGAACGCUGGCGGCAUGCCUAAUACAUGCAAGUCGAGCGAACAGAUGAAGUGCUCGCACUUCUGACGUUAGCGGCGAACGCGUGAGUAACACGUAAGGAAUCUACCUAUAAGCGGGGAGAACAUUCGGAAACGGGUGCUAAUACCGUAUAAUAGCUUCUUCCGCAUGGAAGAAGAUCGAAAGACGGCUCUGCUGUCACUUCUAGAUGAUCUUGCGGUGCAUUAGUUAGUUGGGGGGGUAACGGCCUACCAAGACGAUGAUGCAUAGCCGACCUGAGAGGGGGAUCGGCCACAUGGGGACUGAGACACGGCCCAAACUCCUACGGGAGGCAGCAGUAGGGAAUCUUCCGCAAUGGGCGAAAGCCUGACGGAGCAAUGCCGCGUGAGUGAAGAAGGCCUUCGGGUCGUAAAACUCUGUUAUAAGAGAAGAACAAAUUGUAGAGUAACUGCUACAGUCUUGACGGUAUCUUAUCAGAAAGCCACGGCUAACUACGUGCCAGCCGCCGCAGUAA